ACAUUUAUUUAUUUAUUUGGAAUGAACAUUUACUAUUUUGGAAAUGAACAUUUAUUUAUUUAUUUGGAAAUAAACAAUAUAGGCGCUUGUAAAAACAUAAAAGACCAAUGAAGUGAACAAUUUCAUUAUGAACAUUAACCAUAUAUGUAUUGUGAACAAACAAAUAAACAAGAAAGAACAAAUAUUUCAACAAAAAAGAACAAACAAUAUAAAAAAUAACAUAAAAUUCCAGAAAAAAGAACAACCAAUACAACAAUUAUGAACAAUUUUAUGAUGAAUUUUAAAGCCAACAUGAAAGAACAAACAAUACAACAAGAAAGAACAAAUACUGGUACAAAAAUGAAAAUUUACUUUUUCGGAAAUGAACAUUUAUUUAUUUAUUUGGAAUGAACAUUUACUAUUUUGGAAAUGAACCUUUAUUUAUUUAUUUGGAAAUAAACAACAAAAAUGAACAUUUAUUCAUUUAUUUGGAAUGAACAUUUACUAUUUUGGAAAUGAACAUUUAUUUAUUUAUUUGGAAAUAAACAAUAUAGGCGCUUGUAAAAACAUAAAAGACCAAUGAAGUGAACAAUUUCAUUAUGAAUUUUAAAGUCAACAUGAAAGAACAAACAAUAAAGCAGAUAAUUAUUAUGAACAAACAAAUAAACAAGAAAGAACAAAUAAUUCAACAAAAAAGAACAAACAAUAUAAAAAAGAACAUAAAAUUCCAGAAAAAAGAACAAACAAUACACCAAUUAUGAACAAUUUUAUGAUGAAUUUUAAAGACAACAUGAAAGAACAAACAAUACAACAAUAAGUUUGAUGAAUGAUUUUAAAAAACAACAAGAAAGAACAAACAGUACAACAAGAAAGAACAAACAAUACAAAAAGAAAGAAUAAAAGAUUAAUGAAGAGUUUAAUUAUGAACAUUAACCAUAUGAUUAUUAUAAACAAACAAAUAAACAAGAAAGAACAAACAAUAUAAAAAAGAACAAAAAAUUCCAGAAGAAAAAACAAAAAAUACAACAACUAUGAAAAUUUGAUGAUGAAUUUAAAAAACAACAUGAAAGAACAAACAGUACAACAAGAAUGAACAAACAGUACAACAAGAAAGAACAAACAGUACAAUAAGAAUGAACAAACAGUACAAUAAAAAAGAAUAAACAGUCGACAAGAAUGAACAAACAAUAUAAGCGCGUCGUUUUGGGGGGUACAGCCAGAGCUGGCUGUACCCGGGUACAGCAGUUAGCGAUUGCAACUACCAAGCCAUUAUUUCAUUUACUAAAAGAAACCAAAACCCAAAACCCAAAACCCAACCCAAUCUUCUUCAUUUUCCCUUCUCUCUCCUCACGGUCAGUCUCUCUCCUCCUCCUUGCUCUCUGCUCCACUGCACCACCGGCGCUGUACUCUCUUCUCCUAUGUCGGCGGGGUUGUUGGUGUGUGUUGCUAGUGUUGUUGUCGGUCUGUCUCUGCCAGUUCCUUGCUCCGCCUCCCUCUCCUCCUCCGCGUCACCGCUGCCGCCAACGGUGGCAAUAGAAACCACACCGAUCUAUGCACCAUCUGUAAUUGGUAAUUUAUCCUACUUCCUCUUCUAGUUGAUUAAAUUCAAUUGAAAUUCCCAAAUUCAUGAACCCUAACUUCUCUCUUCUGCAUGUGGUGGUGCGGGCCCAUCUUACGCCCGACGCGGGGGUUUGCCGGCUCCCAUUGUUGUUGUACUCGCCAGAGCUUCGCCGGAGCUCCGUGGCCCUGCCGGAGCUACUGCUCGAUGUUGUUGGUUGUGCCUAAUGUUGUCUCUUGCGUUCCUAUUUCUCUAAGGGUAAAUUGAUGGAGGAUGGUUUAAGAAGAUUUGAGUCAUGAAGUUAAGCGAAGGAUGAUGAUCGAGUAUGUAGCUUUGGGAUUUAUGAAUGGUUAUUGAAGAAUUAAAAUGUUUUGCAGGUAGUAAGGGCGAGUCUCAAAACAGAUUCAAGGUUCGUAGAGUUCUCCAAUGGCCUUAUAUGUCCAAGGUUGGAAUGUGGAUUCGCCAAAUGUAAUUUAGUUUUCUAGAGUUUGAUAAUGGGUUGUAUAAUUUCUUCUUAAGCUCUGGUUUAUAAUUUAUGGAUUAUAUAUCUGUAUUGGAGUUGUAUUUAAGUUAAGUUUUUUUUGGUUAAAGGUUAAGUGUGCUUAGAAGUAGCUCAUUAAGUGUGGGCUGUUAAAGUGACACCCUUCUGGUGUUGAUUUGGGAAUGUUAUAUGUUGGAAUGUUGUAAUUGAAGCAGGUGAAGGAAAAUCUGACGUAAUUUCCUAAACAGUAUUUUAGGUUGUCCAUAUUUAGGGGAAG